AGCACAUGCCUGCUGACCUUCGUGGAGCCUGACCAGUGGGGGAAGUGUGAAGGAGACAGACAGGAUUCAGGCUUCUUGGGGCAGGUGUUUCUUCCAUGAGAGAUACGUGGGGAUGAAUUGCUGGGGAAUCCUUUCCAGUUUCCAGGAUACCUCUUCUUAUAUAUGGGGUCCACAAGUUGGCUGCUGUCCUGUCUUCUCUCACUAGGGUCUCAAGCUACCUGUCUGCUGAGCUGCAUGCUGUGGGCAUCAGAAAAAAACGUACAGGCCCUCUGCAGCCACCCAUGGAAACAGAAGAGAUUGCAUGCAGAGAUAGAGACACCAAGCUUUCGCCCUGUUCCUGGUGCAAACUGUCCAACAGCAUCCACUGAGCUGUGCUCUUCACAGGGGAUGCUCUCCCACAUCCUGCAGUGAGGCCUCCCCUUCUCUCCUGGCCAGCCUUCCUGACUUGUUUGCAUCCCUCUGAGAACAUCCCUGCAGCAGUUACCAGAUGGAUAAGCCUCCCUUUCUGGAUCUCGCCUAGUGUUCUUGCCUGUUAACUGUGGGACCCCACAUCAAGGGAGUCUUUCAAAAAUUAUACCCUUAUUUCAAAACAAA
rnacentral:lncRNA from 1 species